rnacentral:lncRNA from 1 species
GUAACAGAAUACCUGAAACUGGGUAAUUUAUAAAGGAGAGAAAUUUAUUUCUUACAGUUAUGAAGGCUGAGAAGCCCAAGGUCCAGGGGCCCCAUCUGGUGAGGGCCUUCUUGCUGGUGGAGACUCUGCAGAGUCCUGAGGUGGUGCAGGGCAUCACAUGGUGAGGUGGCUGAGUGUGGUAGCUUAAGUCUCUCUUUCUCUUCUUAUAAAGCCACCAGUCUCACUCCCCUGAAAACCCAUUAAUCCAUUAAUAGAUUCAUACGUUCAUGAGGGUGGAGCCUUUAGGGCCCAAUCACUUCUUAAAGGCCCUGUUUCUCAAUACUGCCACAUUGGAGAUUAAGUUUCAACAUGAGUUUUGGAGGGGACAACCAUUCAAAGCAUAGCAGAGUCCUUUAAUUGUUAUAAGCUUUCCUAAUUAUUAGCUUUAAUAUGAUCUACGUAUCAAUUUUACUUUGGUUUUCCAGCUUAGAGAAGAGGACGGCAUACAGAAAAAUAUAUCUUCUGCAAAGAAAAGCACAGUCAUGUAGAGAACCUUUCCAUUCCCAAUCUGGACCCAGUAAUUCAAGUUUGACACACUACACCAGGGCGGACGUGCCUUGUCAUUACACAUCUUCUCAGCAGCACCAGAAGAUACAUCCAAAGUCGUGUGAGCAAGGCUAUUUAUUAAACUAAUCCAUGUUCUGAACUGUUAUUGCUACUGGAAAGGGGCCCGAUCCAGACCCCAAAAGAGGAUUCUUGGAUCUUGCACAAGAAAGAAAGGUGAGUCCAUAAAGUAAAGUGAAAGCAAGUUUAUUAAGAAAGUAAAGGAUGAAGAAUGGCUACUCCAUAGGCAGGGAAGCCCCGAGGGCUACUGGUUGCCUGUUUUUAUGAUUUUUCUUGAUUAUAUUGAUAUGAACAGGAGGCAAGGAAAUAUUGGGUAGAAGAGGGUAGUUCCCUGGCAAAGACACCACUCUCAAGCUUGGAAAUCCAUGGCCUUAAAUGUGAACAGGCAUUUCUGUUUUCACACCUUAAUGUUGCCUUUUGGCCCACCACACCCCCCAUCCUAUACCCAUGUAAACCGUAAACCUCAGGCUCCAUGAGCAGAAGAUCAGAGGAGCAGAAGAGUGGUGCAGCAGAGAAGGAGAGAAGAGAAGGAACGUCUAAAUGUCAAGAGGAGUUCAGCUGGGGACAGUCAGAGAGGAGAUAGGUCGUGGGACAGCCAAACUCCAGGGGAAGAUCAUCUUCCCACUCCAUCCACUUUCCAGCUCCCCAUCCAUCCCACUGACAGCCACCUCCACCACUCAAUAAAACCCCUGCAUUCAUCAUCCUUAAAGUCUGUGUGUGACCUGAUUCUUCCUGGGCACUGGACAAGGACCCGGUUAUGAAGAGGUCACUGAGUUGAUUAACACUAAAGCCAUCUGUGGACAGCAGAGCUAAGAGGCACUGUAACAUGUGCACUGGGGCUUUGGGAGUUGCAGGCACCCACCCUGAGGUGCUACCAUGGGGCUGGAGCCCAAAAGCACUUUCCCCAGGUCCUGCACCUGCCUAUCUGCAUGCUCUCCCUCCCAUAAGGGGUUUGAGUUCAUGGUGGCUCAAGCCACACCCCUGUUGCACAUCCUGUGAGUCGGGGGUCAGGGAACUCUCCUGUUUCAACAUGUUAAACAAGGGGUAGAUUAUUCAUGCCUCCCCUUUUUAGACCAUAUAG